UAUUUUCACCUCCUCCUCCAGUACAUUCUCCUCCACCACCUCCUGCAUACUCUCCCCCACCACCAGUUUAUCCGCCACCACCUCCAGUGUACUCUCCUCCUCCACCAGUAUACUCUCCCCCACCGCCAGUUCACUCUCCGCCACCGCCUGUCCAUUCUCCGCCACCACCACCACCGGUCCACUCUCCGCCGCCACCAGUCCAUUCACCACCACCGCCAGUCCACUCUCCUCCACCACCAGUCCACUCUCCGCCGCCACCACCAAUUUUCUCUCCACCACCACCUACACCAAUCUACUCUCCACCACCACCACCAGUUCAUUCACCGCCUCCACCAGUCCAUUCUCCACCACCACCACCAGUCCACUCGCCACCGCCUCCAGUUAACUCUCCACCCCCUCCGGUUCACUCCCCACCGCCUCCAGUGCAUUCUCCUCCGC
rnacentral:lncRNA from 1 species